GUGAGAUAAUCUGCAUGAUAAGCCCGCCCUUGCCCCAAAGGAAGGUGACCUUGCUUGAGAUAAUCCUUUCUUUUGUUCUUUGUCUCCCUUCUGCCUGUAAAAGCCUUCCAUUUGCACAGCUCCUCAGAGCUCCUUUCCACUUGCUAGGUAGGAUGCUGUCUCAUUCACGAAUCGUUUAACAAAGCCAAUCAGAUCUUCAAAUUUACUCAGCCAGAUUUUGCUUUUUAACAGGUGUGGUGUGUACCUUAUCCGAUGAUGAUUGAUCCAGGUUGCAUUUGUGAUCUAGGCAUUUUGCUUAUGCAGGUUAUACUUCAAUAUAUUGUUACUGCCAGUGGGAUUUUGACUGAGGAAGACAGACAUUUUUUAAAGGGGAGGUGUUGAUAUACGGGAGUCGAUGGAUUCCAUCCGGGCAGCAGCGGCGUGUGGGCGGAAUGAGGUCCCUGGCCUGAGCCUCAGAGUGGUCCUCGGGGCCGGGGGGGCCUCGGAAAUCCAAUCCGGGGCACUUCACAGGAGACAGUGGGGCUGCAGCCGUUUCCCUGAGCUGGCUGAGGGGUCCCUGCCGAGAGACCGACAGCUCAGGGCCUCCCAAAUGGCAAACAUGAGAUGCUUUGACAGAGCAAAUGGACGUGGCACUGAAACACUGAACCCUACAGGGAAGCUUCCUCACCUCCUCCAAUUAUGUCCAUCUUCAUUCGGUGCCAAGACGCCUUUACUGCCUCUCUAAGCCUCGCUCAUCAUCCUUCGGAACAAAGAACGAACAAGCCCCAGGCUGGGUGCCGAAGGCAGACCUGCAUUUAGGUUUGUUGCUUUAUUUCUGUGGUUACCAUCCUUUUGCAGCAAGACUUGGUGGUUCUCCAUCUACUCCACUGAUAUAUUUUUCUUUCAAAUAAAAGUUUCUUAGUGAAAACA
rnacentral:lncRNA from 1 species